AUUUUGAACUUCUGACAUGUUUGUAUUUUUAAUAAAAUAUCUUAUUUCUUUUUCUCUUUAUUGCUCGUGUUUUCUGGAGGAAAGGAAAGUUAUAUAGUGUAGUAGGGCUAGUAGAUAAUCUUCUCUAUUGGUGAACAAAUAAUUUAGUGUAGUAUUACUUAUUGAUAAUUUGGUGAAUAAAUAAUAUGUUGGAAGUCCCUGUGGUAGCUCAUAGUUCUUUUUAAAAGAACUAAAACCCUAAACCUCUCGCUGCGGCGUUUUCCUCGGUGAACGGCGGCUGCCGCGUCUUCCUCUCCAUCGGCGAAACAGCGUCUCCGCCCCCCCGAGUGGGAUUACCAAGCAGUAGGGAGUUAUUUGAUGCUAAAUUGGAGAAUAAAACUUACAGGAUUAUUACUCGAGUUUAGGAAAGAUUCCCAAAAAACAUUGCUACCAGUUGUCCAAAAGCCUGAUGGGAAGAAAAAUUUGAUGGUUUGUGAUCAGAUUUCUGUAAACAAUUUCUGCUGCUAAAUAGAUCUCUAGGUCUUUGUUUAUCUGUUAUAUCUCCACUGACUACUCUAUGUUAUAUUUGAUAUUACUGAUUCUGAGGUAUCAAAUUUAGUUUAAUAUUUAAUUUUUAAAGAAGAAUGGAGUGAUUUUGCUUAAUAAAGCUCCAACAAGUCACAUAUGUAGUACCUGGUACUGAAGACUUUGACCACACUGAUAUCUCUGAAUUUGUUCAGAAAGCUCCGGGUCUCUUAGUAAGUUUCAGAAAAUUAGAACUUGGAGACAGUGACAGUGACAGCUGAGGAAUUAGAUGUGGUACCUAUUUUGCAGAAUCAACUUUCCAUGCUUGAACACUGCUAAUCUUUCAUUUUCUUCAGAUUAUAUAUGACAGCAAGGAAUCUCUUGAAAGCUACUGUUCCCAUCUCUUGUUGUCUAGACAUGACAUAUAUUUUAAUGUGGUUGAUGGCAAGGGAUAUUCUUCUCUAUACGGUCUUCGAUGACGAUGGCUUGAUUUAGCUUGCUUCCAUCCUUAUUGUCAUCGUUCCGUCGUAAGUUAUUGAUCCUUGGUCCAAAGAUGGUUUGGUACAGGGAUUCUUUGGGAAAGAUUCUUUUGGUCUAUUUCGUGACCGCCCCUUCCUCGACGAUGGUGGAAAACUUGCCGUAGACACCAUCAUCAGCAUAGAUUCCUUGGUAGAGGCUAAAAAUGAAGGUGCCAAUUGACAAGGAGGGUUUUCUAUAGUUGCAUCGAUGGUGAUCUCAUGUUUUUGCUUGUUUCCUAUCCUACGGUGGCCAUUCUAUUGCAAAUUCUUGAUCCUUGGUGCAGAGAAGUGUCAGUUCAUGGAUUCUUUUGAAUAGAUUCUUUUGGUCACAGAUUUUCAUAGCAAGCUCUGCUGCUGCCUAGCUUGCAAUGAAGAUGGCAAUUGACAAGGAGGUUUUUUUUCUCUCAUUAGGCCAGUGAUGCUUUGUCUUUCUUCCAGCCCUUUCAUUGCUGUUGGAUCACAGAUUCUUGAUCUCUUGGUCCAGAGGAGAAGAGUUGGUAGGUUGGUUCUUUGGGACAUGGAGUGUUCCUUUGCCACAUGAUGGAUUUCUGCCCAUUGGCGAGGAAAUCUUCUGUCAAUUGCAUAAUUGCGUUGAUAAAGGAACCUGAGGUGUAGUAGAUUAUUUGGUCAUAGUGUGUUGCUAUGAUCCUGCUGUUUGUGCUUCUUAUGGAAUGAAGAAGAGAUAAUUGGAUUGGUUGCCGAUAAGUGGCUGAGAAAGUUUAUUCAUUAGUGUUUGAUAAAUCCAGCUAAUCUGUUUGUAAUAUUAUGAUCAGCUUAGUGAGUGUGGGAAGUUCUUUAUGGCAAGCCAAGGCAGGCACUGACCCCAGCCAGUAAAUGAAUGUGAUAUUUAUUCAGGAUCAAAUGACAAGGAUGACCUCUGGUAUUAAUUAGCAUCAAUGUCAUCGUGGAAGGAGGUGGCAUCUUUUAUUACAAUAUGCAGCAUCAAGUGCCAGGCAAAUCAGGUGUGGGUGAUGAUUUAGGUGUACACUAUGUCUUGCGAUUGUUGUAAAAAUUUUGCACAAAAUUCCCACCCAGCAUGGUCUUGCACGCAUAGAGGACCAUCCGGAGUACCUAAUGGAGGCAGUUAAAGAAGCUGUGACUUUAAUAGGUCCUGUUAAUGGCUAUGCAGAGCUCAGAUUUUGAUGGUAACUGAGAUUGGUUGUGAGAUAAGUAUAUAAUUUACAGGCAUGACAGAGUAUGCAUGUCAGAACGGUCGUAUGAUGUGGUGUGCAGAUGUUUAUGGUGUUUUUGCUUAUUGGAAGGGUUGAAGGAAAGCUAGUAUUAUUUUAGUUGACCGGACCCGUAGCGAGUCCGAUCAUCGAUCGUCAGAAUAAAGUUGCUCGACUCGGGCGAUUUUGCGAAAAUAUAUAUAUAUACA